ACGUACACCGGUCACGCUCGCCGACUUUCUGCGCUUUGCCAUCGAAGUUUGCAUCAAGGGUCACCGGAGCUGCGAGCUUGGGGUGCGCUGGUUCAUCCCCUCAGCGUGUGCAGACCCGCAGAGUCCCUGAGAUGGGGUUGGGAAGGUGUAGGCUGGUGGAGCUGCAGUGUCCGGCACAACGUAAUAACUGCACGUGGAUGGCUGCAGGGGUGUUUUCUUUCUUGCUGGGUGAGCUCCUGUAAGGGAUGGAUGUCAGUCCAUGACCCCACCAGCAGACGAGCGGGUGAGCUGAGGCGGGAGGGAGCUGCGUUGUCUCUGCGUGUUUGAGCAACGAGCUAAGUGGAUCUCGAGGCUUGUAAUGGAGAACAAUGAUUUGAAAAGGAAAAGGGGGCUGGUGCAAUGGAUGUUGUUUUUCAAACCCGCUUCAACCAGAAAACUUCAAAUGCUCUGUAGGAAUCUGCAGUUGUGGUUUCUCUGCUUUGUUGGUUGUUUUUCUUUUUACAAGCCAUUAGGCAACUAAUAAAAAUCUUCUGUUUGUUUUCUAACAAUGGGCCACGUAUUGUGUUGAGGGGUAGCGAGCGCAGCCGCCCAGCCUGUGGACGUGCCGCUUGGUACAUGCGGAUGUGCUUUCCAACAGGUGGGUUUGAUUCCGAACAGAAAAACGUGGACUGGUUUCAG